rnacentral:tRNA from 1 species
UCAUCGGAUUGCGGGGGUAACCGCGAUCGGCAAUUAAUUGAUCUAAAGAAUUAAACGGUGCUUGCGAUGGUUCAAUUCCUACCCAUUGCA